AUGACGUGCAGAAGAGUCCUUGUCGCACCCCAGGCGGGAGUGAUGCAGGCGAAAAACACACCUGAUUCCUUUGGGUCUCCAUGGCAGCAGGGCCAGAUAAUGACGCUCCAUCAGCAGGAAGAGGCUGAUCCUGUGACAGAGGGUGUUUUCAAGGUCAUAUCGCCUAGGAGCCUCUGCCUGGAUGGAAGACGAAUCUGGUAUCUAAGCUUCUCCCUUAAAGCUGUCAGUGAAGCCACUGCCAACUGGAGUGCUUCCGAGUUCCUCCUAAACUCCUGCAUAUGUGUAGUUAAGUCACUUGAAAAGAAAAUAUAAAUGGUCCAAACUCAUCAGUCCACUGUAACUGUACAUGGAGUAUUCAGUUUGCCAUUAAAUUAUGAUUAUCUUGAUUGUUCCCUAAUGUCUUUUUUCUGUCCCAGGUGUGAUUGCUGUUUAUCUUGAAUCUCGCCAGAUAGUAUGGCAAGAACUGUAAAACCCCACACCCAAAAGGCUGAAAGGACCUAAAGCCCAGUUAGAGAAAGAAUUUGAAUAUUAGUUGAUUAACAAACAGACAGGUCCAGAGAGGGGUUGGGUCAUGCAACGCCCCCCUACAUACACACAAACAAACUAUGAGCCCACAGUAUUCCAAGGACACGUUAAAACUUAAAUGACAAAUAGGAACUUGAUACAGUUCAUUCUUAAAGCCAAGGAAAUAAGGUCAUGCAUAACUAAAGACCAACAGCAAGAUAUUGCCUAAACCAUCCUUCAUUUAAACCACCUUGAGCAGGUUCUCUUGCAAGUGGAAGAGAAAGCAGAGAAAGAGAGAGAGGAACCACCAUUGCAAUGAUUUCCAAACAGGUAGAAUCAAAAGGUUGAAAUUUUCAACCAAGAGUUUUAUGUCAUUACAACAGGAGCCUCUCUUAUCUAGGACGGGAUUCCUACCGCGUGGCUGCAGUGUGAUAAAGAAGAAUCAGCUAUCAGUUUCUCACAUUAUCAUACUUCACACAUAGGCACAGUUGUCAUAACCAAUGAACCAAUAUAGAUACACUGUUUUCUUGAUUGUCCCCUAAUGUCUUUUUUCUGUCCCAGGACCCCAUCCAGGAUCCCACAUGACAUUUUGUUGUCUAAUAUCAUUUUAGGCUCCUCUUGGCUGUGACAGUUUCUUAGACUUUCCUUGUUUUUAACGACCUUGACAGUUUCGAGGACUACUGGUCAGAUCUGUGCUAGAAUAUCCCUCACCUGGGGUUUGUCUGAGGUUUCUCCUGUGAUUAGACUAUUGAUGCAUUUCUGCGAGCAAAGGUACACUAGUCAAGUCCACUGUCCCGUUGUCUCUAGG
rnacentral:lncRNA from 1 species